rnacentral:rRNA from 1 species
UGAGGAAUAUUGGUCAAUGGACGCAAGUCUGAACCAGCCAUGCCGCGUGAAGGAUGAAGGUCCUCUGGAUUGUAAACUUCUUUUAUCUGGGACGAAAACGGGAUUUUUAUCUCAAUUGACGGUACCAGAGGAAUAAGCACCGGCUAACUCCGUGCCAGCAGCCGCGGUAAUACGGAGGGUGCGAGCGUUAUCCGGAUUUACUGGGUUUAAAGGGUGCGUAGGUGGGCUUAUAAGUCAGUGGUGAAAUCUCCGAGCUUAACUUGGAAACUGCCGUUGAUACUAUAGGUCUUGAAUUAUCUGGAGGUAAGCGGAAUAUGUCAUGUAGCGGUGAAAUGCUUAGAUAUGACAUAGAACACCAAUUGCGAAGGCAGCUUACUACAUAUAAAUUGACGCUGAGGCACGAAAGCGUGGGGAUCAAACA